UCAGCUUGCCAAAAUCAAUGAUAUUGAUAACAGUGAUUGAUACAUAUUAUAUCUACCAUGGUCUCUUACACUGCGAGUAUUGAUAUUCUGCUCUAUACUAAGUCGAAGUUUCAGUUGUUUGAAUAUUCAAGAAGGUAUUUCCAUCGAAUUUUUAAGCUGAAGAAGCUUGUGAACGCUUUUUGGUGCAAGAUAGAGCUUGAACAAGCAAAAUUGGAAUAGUGACGAAGAGUAUGAUCUUGUGAUUUUUCAGAAUUGCCUUUUCCGCAGAGUCAGAAUGACAUAUAAUGCUUUGUGCAUCAGUAAGGGUGAUGGAUCCCUUGUGGUACAAAAUGCGCUGGUUAUUGAAAACUUGAAUUUAACUCCGUAUUGUGAAGACUAUAAAAGACUUGGCUUUGGCUCUGUACUUGAGGAACGUAUAGGGAGUAAAAGUGGAUCUUGGAGGCUUUCUAUUGUCAAUCUUUCGUACGCAGCCUGUCGAAGUUACCCGGCUGUUUUAGUGGUGCCACAACACGUGACCGAUGACUCUUUGUUGCACGUGUCUAAAAACCAUCGCCAUAUGCGUUUUCCUGUUGCGACGUGGAGACAUAAAAUCAAUAAAUUCGCCGUUUUAUUGCGAUCUUCUGCCAUUGAACGAAGCUCUGUCGCAUCCAUCAAUCGCUCUGGUGAAGCUGCAAGUUGUGGAAGCGCUGACGCAAUACGUUCAUUCAACUUGGAGCAAGAUAAAUAUUUAUCUGCCGUUGAUUUUAAGUGUCUUCAAAUCCUGUGUCGUGGAAUAAAGCGGAGACGAAACAUCGUUCACUGGCAGCCAACGUCAACAUGUCUAAAGCAACGAUGAAUCUACCAUCAAAUGACAAUGCAUCUAUAAGUGUUUCUGUUGUGGAUUCCGUUGACAAAGCAAUAACUGAGCAAUGAUGAGAGCCUGCUGCACUGUACGUUUUUUAAUCUUUCUUGGUGAGACGUCAUUUGCUCAAGUACUGUUAGAUCCAUACUACCAAACGAUUAAUGGUUUUAAAGUUUUUGUUGAAAAAGAAUGGUUGAACUUUGAACAUUGCUUCUCACAUCGCUGUAAUCAUACACAUUCAACGCAAUCAAGUGAAUUCACGCAUGUUUUCUUGCAAUUUCUUGAUGGCGUCCAUCAGAUAUUACGUCAGUAUCCACUAUUCUUCGAAUUCAACGAGUAUUAUUUACAUUUCCUCGCCUAUCAUCAUGUCUCCAUGUGUUUUCGUACGUUUUUACUGGAUUCAGAGCACGAACGUGUGCAGAUGGGUUGGCUAUCAGAUGCUGAAAAGAAAGAUGCAAAGACUUCUAAAUCUCACAUAAAAAGUCUUUGGGAUUACAUCGACAUGCUACACAAAAAAUCAUUAUUUUAUAAUUUCAAGUUUUCGAAAGAACAUUCUGAAAAGGUGCUUCGUCCUCACUGCAAAGUUUGCAAUCUAAAAUUAUGGAGUUAUUUUGUUUCGGAGAAUGUCUCCACUGGUCCAGAGUUUGAUCAAGAAGUCAUAAAUGACGCAGAAACUGCUGCCGAGGAAGGACAACAGAAGUUAGAAGACAAGUAUGAAGCCAACAGACGCUGUCGAAGUGGUAUGUUUUGUGGAUCGGUUCAUUACGACAGUAGUAGCUGCGCAUAUCAUUUGUACGAAUAUAAUCGCAUCGAAGAAGAGGCUUACAAACACGCAACUCGUUGGAAAAAAAUAUGGGAGCGUUUGGAACAGCCUAAAAUAACGAAAACGUGUUUAACAUACAACGAAGAACUUUCCAGAGUCCGUAGUGGUGUACUACACAAACGAGAUACGAUGGACAUAAUACUUGAGGGAAAACUUCAAAUCGAAGACUACAGUAACCAAGGUUUUUCACGACCUCAUUCAUUUGAACCUCACAGCUUCUUUACGCCAACCAACUGCGAUUUCUGUCUACAAGUGAUAUGGAAUAUUGGAAAAGGAGGAUUCAGAUGUACAGAAUGUGGAUACAACUGCCACGAGAAAUGCUUAUCACUUGUUCCUAAAACGUGUCCUAAUUACAAAAAUCUAAAAGACCAGAAUGAUAGCAUGCCAUCAACUAGUAACAAAAGCUUACAUGAGUCUCCAAGUAAAAACAAAUCUUUGAAAUUUUUAUGUGGGUAUCUAUGGAAACGAGGUGCUUUAUUCAAACAAUGGAAGCAACGGUAUUUUGUAUUGGGUACGGAAAGACAUCAGCUUCGUUACUAUGAUGAAGUAAGCGAUGUUCAUUGUCAAGGUGUUGUCAACUAAUGUGAAAUUAUUUCAUGUGAAAUGUCACAGUUGAAUUCAAACGAGAAGCAAGUUUUUUUCGACCUUCGUACAGAGAAACUAUUGUAUAAUUUGUAUGCUGCGACGGAGGAAGAAGCCAAAAAAUGGAUAUCUAAAUUACAAAGCUGGGAUACGUAGAGCUUCGACGGUCCAAUCAGGAAUUUCAUUAUAAUCAAAAGAAAUGUUGUGCAUAUGUGAGAUAUUUUAACAUUUUAGUACACAUAUUUAGGGUAAUUUAUGUAUGUAUUUUAAUUUUUUUAAAUAAUAGUAUCAUUUUGAGACACGCA